rnacentral:tRNA from 1 species
GGGCGAUUGGCUCAGCGGUAGAGCGCCUCGUUCACACCGAGGAGGUCACUGGUUCGAACCCAGUAUCGCCCACCG